rnacentral:rRNA from 1 species
ACUUUACAAUGCGGGCAACCGUGAUAAGGGAACCUCGAGUGCCUGUACAUGCAGGCUGUCUGGGUGUCUAAAACACACCCAAAGAAAGGGCCGGGCAAGACCGGUGCCAGCCGCCGCGGUAAUACCGGCGGCUCGAGUGGUGGCCACUUUUAUUGGGCUUAAAGCGUUCGUAGCUGGGUUGUUAAGUCUCUUGGGAAAUCUGGCAGCUUAACUGUCAGGCGUCUAAGGGAUACUGGCAAUCUAGGAACCGGGAGAGGUGAGGGGUACUUCGGGGGUAGGA